UUCAGAAACAUGAGUCAGCAGCGGAUGUUGAAGCCACAGAAACCUCUGCUGUCUCCAAAUCCAGUGUGUGCAAAAGAAAGAAUUGGGAAAGCAAUAGCAAUCUCCAUGAAUAGUGGAGAAAACAUCUGAAGAUCUGCUCACAGUGUAUUACAACACGCAGGCCUGGUUUCACAGACAGGGUUUAGAUUAAGCCUUCAUUCAGUUAGGACAUUUAUUAACUAGGUUUUACAAAUGUGACUUAGACAAAAACAACACUGUGUGCAUCUUGAGGUGAAACAAUGGCAGUGACAUAUUUUAAGAUAAUGUCAGAUCAAGCUGCUUUCAGUUAAAUCCGCUCAAACAUGUAUGGGGGGAUAUUAUUUCAAACACUUGAAGCUGUGUUCAAACUGUCAGUCCAAACCUGAUUUUUAUGCAUAUCCAAUCAUAUAUAUAGUAAGUGUGAACUUGGAAAAAAAAAAGUAAGAGCGCAGCCUUUAUAAUCUAAAAAGCUGAUAUCACUUCAGUUUGGCUCAAUUGAUGUCAGCUUUAUAGAUUAUAAAGGCUGCGCUCUUUGCUUUCUUUCUGUGUAUAACCCAUUUAUAAUAUAAAUUUAAGCUUAUUUUUCAUGUCACUAAGUACACAUCUCAAUUUCAGGAGUGACAACUGUAUUAAAUUGUGGGAUUGAAUCUGUUUGACAGUGAAAACCACAUCAAAAAAGAUCUGUGCAUUAAGUCUUGCUGUGGAAGUGCAAUAAAGCUUCUACUUGUUCUACUAAGUUUUCUUAUUAACUGAACAGUAUUUAAAGGCUACAUACCAAAGUUUUCAUCUAUUUAUUUAUAGUCAUUAAAAGCAUUCAAAUUAAAA